UACUGCAGCCUUCAGGAACAGGUGAGGAGCAAUGAAAUCUACCAGUAAUCUCAGAAUGAAAGGAGCACACAGAGGAGGAAUGCAGUGUAUGGAGUGGUGCUCAGCAGUGGCAGAAGCCACAAGAGGCAGAGAUGAAGCAUGAAGAAAAUGGGCAGGCGAGGCUCAGAAUAUUAAUAAGGCAUGCUGCGUUAGUCUGAACAAAACCAGAAGCAUUUCAAGUGUUUGGGGCUGCCACUUGAUUUGGCGUUACCUUGUCGGCUGGAUGGCUUCUGUUCUUCAGUGCUUUAAUAAUCUUUGUUUGACUGGGACUUCUGGUUGGACCCGCCCCAGAGCUGACACUGAAGGUGUAUGUCACUGCUUUCCCAAAGGUUAGGACAUCUGCAACUCCAGGUUUUCAGUACUACCUGAUUUUUCAUCAGUUCAAAUCAGUCUUUCGACUAAAAUCAGCAUGUAUGAAAACUUUCCCUAAAGGAAACUGUCCAACAACCACCUGUGCUGUUGAUGCUGUAAUGCCUGGCUGGUUUACUCUUUACACACAAACAGAAACCUGACCUGAAAGACGUUUUGAAUGCUCAGAAGACACAAUGCCAGUCAGGAGGUACAUGCAGUGUAUCCCUCUCCAGAAGUCACGUAGUUCAGCCCAUGAAUUGCAUGGUGUGGAGGGCUCUGACAAUAAGCAGGUUUGAACGCUCAUCUGGUGUACAAGUGCUGAUUCCAGUGAGUGUCCAGACUGAGCCUAUAAGGAAGUGAGCAUUCAAGGAUGAUUAUUGAUACCAUGUAGAAGAAUAAGAAAGGAAACAGCCAAGUCACUGUGUGUUAUGCCAGAUGCUUGCUUUCACAUCUGGGAUGUGUUUUGCUAGCAGAUAGAAAUCACUCUUCCACUCCUACCUAAAGAAGCCAAGUACUCAUACUGCCCACGUGGUGUGCCACAGAAAUACGGGACAUCUGCUGCAUAAGCAAUGCUACUAAGACAGUACUAGAAGCUCAGAGCUGCACAUCUGGAGCAUCACUUUACAAGAACUGGCAAUGAAGCUGUAUGUUCUUCAUUAAACUUUUAUUUGGGAAGGAAAAUAUAUGACAAUUUAAGCUAAGUGCAGAGCACAAAGGAAAUAUUUUGAAUGUGUUAAAUGUUUUUGAAAAUACUUACUUCAUUU